CCCAUGGGGGUCUCAGGUAAAUCCAAUUUGACUAGCCCUUGAUUUUACCCUCGACAAAUCUGAACCGUCUCUAUUUUUACCGUGGUGGUAUAAAAACGCAUCCAACAGACGAAACCCAACCCUAGCCGCCUCUGCCCACUCGCCGCGUGCGUCCUAUCUCUCUCCCCAAUCCCCUUCCUUCCACUCCUCCCCAAUGGCUUUCCUCCUCCUCCCCGCGAGCGGCCGGUCGCGCUGAUGCCUCCCUGCUCGUCGGCCCAUGGCGAAGGAUCCAGCCCCCCAGCUCCCCAAGCCCCUGCCUCUACCGAUUUCCCGGCCGCCGCCGCCUCCAUCGAUUUCCCCGCCGCCGCCGCCUCUGGCAAUUUCCCCUUGCCUGCUCUCUCCCCGAGCUGGGUGGAGUUGCAGCCAUCCCCGUUCUGUUCCUCUCCAACCAGGACGGGGAGAGGACGUCGAGCAGUGUCGCGGGCACCCCAUGGUCUGCUCUUCCCCUAUUUCUCUCCUCAUCUGCAAGGUCGCACCGCUGAUGUGCUUCUCUUCUCCUCUUCGGUUGAGGAGAAACUUGGGUUGUCGAUAUAGCUGAACCUGGAUGGAACUUCCAUGUCCCUGAGCAAGGAUUAGCGGUGCGCCGGGAUCUAGAACAGAGGGGCUCACUCUGGCCAGCGGGCGGGAAGAACGGUGGUAUUAUUGCCUCUAAUGCCGAGGGCGCCGUUCCCUCCACUGAACUCGCCUACUCGGAGUACCUCCGCAUACUCAGAACUAAGCACGAGCUGUGCUGGAGACCGGAGACAAGGUGGUUUCGCUGCAGGGUUAGUCGUUUGACACCGUCGGCCGUCUGAUAUUUCUGUUCGCUAUCAACCCCUUUCUUUCUGUGGCUCGGUUUGUGUAGAUCUAUUAUGUCCAUGCCGGUGGCGGAAAUGCACCAAGAAAACGCAGUAGCCAUUGGACCUCGGGUUAUCAAGCAUCACUAAAUCCAUUUGAUCUUCUCUUCGAUGCCGAUUCGAAGGCUUUUGACCUGCCACUACAUUUGUUAUUUCCAUUUUUUUUUUGGCAAACAUGGCACGUGAGGCAUUUGUGAUAACAAUCAAGUCUUUUGGUCAGCUUGAAGAAUUAUUUGCAGAAACUAUCAGGGAUGUCAUGGAAGAAAUCUAUGUAAAAAAUCGAGGAUUGGAUGUCCUGUGCAGGGGGGGCACUGAAUUUGUGGACCUGGUUGCUUUAAGUGAUAGGCAUGGACACAACGUGGCUUAUCAUAAGUCUGAUCUGUUCUUCAUGCGCAUGCUUCGACCAUAUUGAACUUGAUCAAGAUCGACAAAACAGAGAUUCAGGCAUCAAAGGUACAUCAUUCUUGAGCUGUUUCUCAUUUUGUGAAAUAUAAUACAAUAACCAUACAUUUUGGUCUCUGCAUUAGUUUUCAGUUGCUUGCAAAGUUGUUUGAAUUCUUUCUCAUAAACACAAGUACACACGACCCCUUUUAAUUAAUCCUUAUUGUUUCCACAUGGCAAAUGGUAUCGUUCUUAGAAUUCAGCAUAAUAGUUGCAUUGUUCUACCAUCUGCCUAUUUGGUAUAUUCCUUUCAUAGACAAUGUAUACAUUCUUAAAUAGUUCUCUGCAGCACAUAUUUCCAUUCUUGGUUCUCGAGUUCGUUUGGUUUAUGUUGCGGGUGAAAGAACAGUGGAUAAGAUCUUAAGGUGGUUUCAUGUACAAAGUUUGUGGUCACUCUUUCCAUUAUAUGUUGGUUUUCUAGGUAGGUUCCGAGAUACACACCAUGAAUGCUUUGUAAAUGACUCAGCUCUGGUACUGAUUUUACUACCCACUUUUAAUUCAUUCGAAACAAAAUCUAAGAGACAGAAAUGUAAUAUAGAUAGUUUUUCCUAGACCACGUUGUGUAAAUACUGUUGCAUCUGCAAACAACAGAAAGGCAUGUCGCUUUCAUGAUAAGAAUAUUGUUAUAUUAUUUAGUUUAUGACUAUAACAUUUUCUGUAAGAUAGAAAUUUAUGGCUGACCACAAACGAAGUGAAUGUAGUUGAUCAACGCAGAAGUGACAGAAGAAAAGGCUGAAGAAAGAUUACAAGAUACAAUCAAAUAGUUUUAUUUGGUUGGCGAGGUACUGUCAUCACUCUAUGAAUAUCUAUUUUUUUGGUAUUUUCUGGUUUUGGUAUUUUCUGAAUUUGAAUAUAUGCUUUGGGUAGGCCAAAACAAUUCGUAUACUUUGCCAACUUAUGAAGAUAAGCAUGGUAAUUAUAACCUUCAUGUACAAGACAGUCUUUGGAGGAGAUUUGUAUGGUUGGCAUACCCAUUAACUGAUGGAAUGUACAACGCCUUAGUUGAGCUCAUAGAAGUAGAUUUUCAGCUGCACGCAUUGCCGAGUGCCUGGACUUUGUUUGGAAAAUAUGCUAUUUGUUGGUGCGUGCAGCUGCAAAUCUACUUCUAUGAGCUGAUUUGUGUAGUUGAUCUAUUUUUACCUCUGCUUUCUGGUCAAAUUUACUGGCCUGAAAUAUGUAUCUGAAGUUUUAUUUAAAUCUUAGUAAUCUUGAUUUCUAUUUACCGGUCUAUGUAAUGCAUAGUAGUGUUAUUUGUAUUGGGAUAUUCAAUUCAUGGUUUUAAAGGCGUCGCCUAGGCGUCGCCUAAGCGACGCUUAAGCGUCCGAGCGGUCCGAGACUGGAAGGCGUCGUCGUCGCCUUUGACUUGAGCCUAAGGCGUCCAAAGGCGUCGCCGAGGCGUCCCAAGUCGUCGCGUAGGCGUGAAAAUCUCCGCCUUCCUCGCUUCUGGACGCCUCGGUCAGGUCGCGCGGGAAACUGUGCGAUGGCGGGAGGGAAAACUGAAAUUGGCGGUCCUGGGAGGGAAAUUGGGGGCUAGGGAUGGGGAAAGAGAGCCGGCGGUCAGCGACGGGAGAGCCAGGAGAGCCGGCAGUCGCUGCGACGGGAGAGGCGGCGGUCAGCGACGGGAGAAGCGGCGGCCACGUGAGAGUCUGAGAGAUGAGAGGGAGAGAUACAUGAGAGCUGGCGGCGCUAACGAGUGGAGGACGACGUGCUCGUGUGCGCUGUUCCUGGGAUUGCUAGGGUUAGGCUUUAGAUAGUUAGUUGGGCUUUUUGGGCUGAAAGGGGCUUUUGGGCUGAAAGAGGACGACGUGCUCGUGUGCACGUCCAGCUUCAACUUCAACAGGCGUCGCCUUGCAACGCGCGUUAGGCGCCUAUGCGUCCAGCCCCCCCCCCCAUCGCCUUGGGACGCCUUGGCGCCUUUAAAACCAUGAUUCAAUUUUCAUGCCAUUUUUCAGAACCCUACUAUCCACCUUAGUAACUUUUUGAUACACCCGUGCUCUAUAGUAUAAAGUAUUUAGCCUGUUGAGUACAUCAUCAAUAUAAUAUCGUGGGAUGUUUUUAGCUUCCUUUUGUAUGUAAAUGGGCCCUGUGGUAUUUUCACAGUUGAGUUUUAUUUGCAUGCUUACAUUUCUUCAGUUUUUUAUUUGCAUAUUUUAGUCCUAUCUGCAAUAAUUCACUGGAAGCGAAGGGCUACUUUCCUCCCCCAUUUCAUAGUCUAAUCAAGAUUUUGAUUCAGCUUAGUGUCUUGUUUUGUAGUCAAUUUUACUGCCAAACCAAAUUGUGUGAAUGCAUGCUUGUCUCAUACUCAACUAACUCCGUAUGCAAAAUAAAAAAAGUUCAGCUGCAAAUGGCAUGUACUGAGACCAAACAGAAGGUAAUAAUUCUGUUCUCCAUUGUUGAUGUCGAUUCAUAACCUGCUAUUUAGAAACUUUAAGCUUGGAUGCUCCUCUUCUGGUUCAGGAUUUGUAAACUUAUCUAGCAUACUGAAAAGGAGAGAAAAAGGUGAUCAAGAUGUUCCUGAUCAAAUGAAACUAAUUUCAAUUUCUUAAUAGAUUAUUUCUUUCAUCUGCUUUUUCUUACCCUGUACUAGGCUACAUUUAAAAUGGGUUCAUAUGAAAAUCCAUAACUACAUGUUGGAUAUAUUAUUACUACCCUUUUUAUAUUCCUUUAAUAGGUAACACCAUGGUAUUGACAUAGUGUAGUGCUGCUCAAUUCCGUGUAGAUGCAUGCCAGAAAAGAGGCCCUCUGCAAGAGGCUCCUACAAUGACGGUGUGAAGAGGAGAAAUAAUGAGUUGAUACAUGGCAGAAGCAGUGGGAUAAGUUGUGUAAGAUAAUUGGUAAUACCUUCGCAUGGCCAUCCUAAUGGUUCUUUAAAUUUUUUUACAUACAAUUCAGUUUUCCUACUUGAAUUUCUGCGUGGUGUCAUCCAAAUGGCAAUAACCACUUUUAACCAAUGGUCUAUCUUGUAAUCAUAUAGGAUAUGCGCGCGUGUGUAGUCAUCAUUGAUGUGAGUUUUUUUGGUUCUUCUAUUCAGAAUUUCAGAGUCAUUGGUUCAUGUGUUUUACGACUUCUUUGAAACUAUCUAGCAUGCUUCCUUUUCUUCCGUAUAUGCACAUACCAUUAUUUGCUUGAGCUCCAAUUUGAGAUGAUCAGUGACACAAAGUCACUGUUUCAUCAUAACUCAGUUUGAUGUUUCAUGAUCUUAUUAGGAAACUUCUUGCAUUCACUCCCUAUAUUUUGUUCAAAAUUAAGGUUUGACUACUCAAUCUUUGUUUCAGGUCCUCCGAGAUGAUAUUAAUGUUGGUUACGAAAGGCAUGCUAAACUGCAGGUCUUUUCCUAUAAGAAAAUCCUUUAUCUCAACUGGCCAGCCUUCAUGAUUCGGGUAAAGAAGGUGAAUGGUGUUGAUGAUGAGAAUAGCAUUUGUAUUGUCGAGGGUUGCACUGAAGGAAACUUGAUAUACUUAGAUGAUGAGCGAGUGAUCACUCUGAAAUUUCAAGAAAACAUGAGAUUUGUAAUGUUCCAGUAGUUGAGAUUUUAGGUCUUCUGUUUGUGCAUAUUGGUUCACAAUUCAUGUAAAUGUCCUGUAGCUCUGAAAUUUCAAGAAAAUUUGAGGUUUGUAAUGUUCCAGUAGUUGAGAUGUUUGGUCUUUACUUUGUGCAUUUUGGUUCAGAGUUCUUGUAAAACGUCCCGUAGUUUGGACAAUGAGCUUCUAGCUUGGUAUUUUAUUACCCCCAUGGCGGAUUGUGAGCUUGCGAGCAGUUUCUUGUCAUACUCUGGCACCGGUGUGUAAACAUUAUAGCUUUAUUUGGCACAUACAAUGCGACCGUGGUUUCUACACUCCGUUCA